rnacentral:rRNA from 1 species
CCUACGGGAGGCAGCAGUGGGGAAUAUUGCACAAUGGGGGAAACCCUGAAGCAGCGACACCGCGUGAGUGAAGAAGUUAUUCGUUAUGUAAAGCUCCAUCAGCAGGGAAGAAAAUGACGGUACCUGAGUAAGAAGCCCCGGCUAACUACGUGCCAGCAGCCGCAGUACUACGUAAGGGGCAAGCGUUAUCCGGAUUUACUGGGUGUAAUGGGAGCGUAGUCGGGAGUGCAAGUCUGGAGGGAAAGGCGGGGGCUCAACCCCCGGACUGCUCUGGAAACUGUACGGCUGGAGUGCAGGAGAGGUAAGUGGAAUUCGUAGUGUAGCGGUGAAAUGCUUAGAUAUUAGGAGGAACACCAGUGGCGAAGGCAGCUUACUGGACUGUAACUGACGUUGAGGCACGAAAGCGUGGGGAGCGAACAGGAUUAGAUACCCGUGUAGUC